rnacentral:rRNA from 1 species
CAGUAGCCGCGGUAAUACGUAGGUGGCAAGCGUUGUCCGGAAUUAUUGGGCGUAAAGGGCUCGCAGGCGGCUUCUUAAGUCUGAUGUGAAAGCCCCCGGCUCAACCGGGGAGGGUCAUUGGAAACUGGGAAACUUGAGUGCAGAAGGGGAGAGUGGAAUUCCACGUGUAGCGGUGAAAUGCGUAGAGAUGUGGAGGAACACCAGUGGCGAAGGCGACUCUCUGGUCUGUAACUGACGCUGAGGAGCGAAAGCGUGGGGAGCGAACAGGAUUAGAUACCCCCGUAGUCCCUGUCUCUUAUAC